rnacentral:rRNA from 1 species
GAUGAACGCUGGCGGCGUGCUUAACACAUGCAAGUCGAACGGACACAUCUUUCGGGGUGUGUUAGUGGCAGACGGGUGCGUAACACGUAGGUGACCUGCCCUAAAGUGGGGAAUAAUCUCGCUAACGCGGGACUAAUACCGCAUAUGCUCGGCGGUUCGGUCUGUCGAGUAAAGUCGUAAGACGCUUUGGGAUGGGCCUGCGGCGGAUUAGGUAGUUGGUGGGGUAACGGCCUACCAAGCCGAUGAUCCGUAGGGGGCGUGAGAGCGUGGCCCCCCACACUGGCACUGAGAUACGGGCCAGACUCCUACGGGUGGCAG